CCGGUCAGGUAACGAGGUGCAGAGGUGUGGGGAAGACCUGGAGGGAGGCCUCCCUGGAUGCCAACCAGCCUAACCAGCCGGGGCCACCAAUCAGAAGUGCUUCUGACAUUUAACAGGACACACGGAAGGUGUGUAGGGUGGGUAGUGGAUGUAACCGCAGAGGCCUCUGGGGAUUGUUUUGGAGCUGGAGAGGCAGGCAAGCAGUUGGCUUUUCCCACACAGGGUGCCUCAGACAUCUGCACAGCGCACACAACCAAGCUUAGGAGCCCACUGUUAAGAUGCCCAAGUGACAUGGACAAGUUUCUCCUCUGCAAGACAAUGAGAUCUGCUGACUGUCAGAGCAUCGCAGGACCGCCGAAGGAUUCUAGAAAAUGUGGUCCCGGGUGGCCACUGUGUGCUAACCUUCACCUGCAGGUUCGACUUGAAGGAAACUUCUCGAGGGUUGGGUGGAGGGUGGGGUAGUGUUGAAGAGGAGGCACAAUUGUAACCAUUUUGUUCAACAUGGGUGUUUUCUUUAUGCAUCAAUUUGUAUUUUUAAAGAUAUUAUAUUAAAAUUUUGUUUCUGUUUU